rnacentral:rRNA from 1 species
GUCCACGCUGUAAACGAUGAUUACUAGGUGUGGGGGUCUGACCCCUUCCGUGCCGGAGUUAACACAAUAAGUAAUCCACCUGGGGAGUACGGCCGCAAGGUUGAAACUCAAAGGAAUUGACGGGGGCCCGCACAAGCAGUGGAGUAUGUGGUUUAAUUCGAAGCAACGCGAAGAACCUUACCAGGUCUUGACAUCCAACUAACGAAGUAGAGAUACAUUAGGUGCCCUUCGGGGAAAGUUGAGACAGGUGGUGCAUGGUUGUCGU